AGUCGAGUUUCCCGCAUGUGGGGAAAUCGCAGGGGUCAACACACCCCAAAGUGCAAUGGGUGAGCCUCGCCCUGGGAAAACCACCUGCUUGAUCAUGGUGUCUCCCCUGCCAGGUAAGUAUGCUCGCCUCCCCAACACACACCGUUCAGCCACACCGGACCUGCGCUCUCAACACACGGUCACUUCGCCGCCAGCGAUCGCGGGCCUCCCCGGACCCGCGCCCGAUUCCUGCGCUCCGCUCCCACCCGCGCAUCCGCGCUCCCUCCCACGCCGCGCGCCAAAUCCCUCGCGUUUCCGCAGCGGGUGCGGACCGGCAGCCCCUGCGCGCCCCUCAUCUGCAUAGACCACGCCCCCGGCAGGCACCCAGGGGUGACAUCACUCUCUUGCUGGGGGAGAACUGAAUGGAGUGUAGAAGGACCAGAGACAAAUCAUCUUGAAUUCUCUCCAAACCCUAAACAGCCGUGGGCUGCCCACCGCUUGGCCUAACAGCCUUGUAACUGGUUUUGAAACACCGUGAAGCUGACACUACGUGGGGACCUGGUAUUGGGGUGACCCAAGUCCGUGUUCCUGGUCCAGGGAUCCACUGUGCCCUCUCUGGACCUCCUCAGGCUCCUGCAUACACUCUGGCACAAACACAUACAUACAAAAUAAAUAAGUACUGUUUUCUCUCUC